rnacentral:lncRNA from 1 species
UUUGAAUAAUUUAUUAUUGGUCUAAUAAAUGCAUUGUUUUUUUUAAUCAGAAACAAAUUUCAUUAGAUGAAAUUAGUAUACAAGGCCAAGCCACAAAUAUAAGCUGCAAAAGAAACGAGCCCCAAACUUAAACUAUCAUAGCUAAUUAUAUUGAUUCUAUUUCUUGCUGAAUUAAUAACUUGAGCAUUAGAAGAAGCUCAUAAUUGGACGGCAGGAGGCCUAGCAUUAUAGUUGCCUCCCCAAGUAGCAUCCUCUGCUGCAAUAACAGGAAGAAAAAUUAAUUCCAUUUUCCCUUUGUAACCUCCUACGAGUGUGAAUUUUAAUGAAAAUUACUUUCUAAUUGAGGAUCCAAUAGAGAGAGACAGGUUCAGGUACUUUACUUACCAGUUGCAUGAGGCUUGUAAGAUUCUUGCAGUUGCCUUAAUCCCAUUGCAGAGGCCAAGAAGAGCAUGAAACUCAAGAGAACCACCUCCCAGAGAAAAAAACUUUUCCCGGUAGCCAUUUCUUGAUAUACAAAUCGUGUUCAUAUGUUUUACUUUUAUAGGCGCGAAUAGGCUCCUUAAUCAUUGGCAUCAGCUUUCAUUGCAAGCGUGAGCCAUUCUUUUCAAGUCCGAU